UACGUAGGUGGCAAGCGUUGUCCGGAUUUACUGGGCGUAAAGAGCGCGCAGGCGGUCGUUCAAGUCGCGUGUGAAAGCCCCCGGCUCAACUGGGGAGGGUCACGCGAUACUGAUCGACUCGAAGGCAGGAGAGGGAAGUGGAAUUCCCGGUGUAGUGGUGAAAUGCGUAGAUAUCAGGAGGAACACCGGUGGCGAAGGCGGGUCUCUGGGCCGUAACUGACGCUGAGGAGCGAAAGCGUGGGGAGCGAACAGG
rnacentral:rRNA from 1 species